UCACCAUGUUGGACAAGCUGGUCUCAAACUCUUGACCUCAGGUGAUCUGCCCGCCUUGGCCUCCCAAAGUGCUAGAAUUACAGGCAUGAGCCACCAAGCCCAGCCUCUCCUCCACCUCAUUUUAGAUGGAAUUAAAACAUUUUUGUGGGUCUCGACAAGUAUUGCCAGCACUGCACCUGCCACCCUGAUAGUUAUUAAUUACCAAUUUACUUUGUGUGUGUGAGAGACGGGUCUCGCUCUGUCACCCAGGCUGGAGUGCAGUGGUGCGAUUCCGGCUCACUGCAACCUCCACCUCCCGGGCUCAAGCGAUUCUGCCACCUCAGCCUCUGAAGUAGCUGGGACUGCAGAUGUGCGCCACCAUGCCCAGCUAAUUUUUGUACUUUUUGUAGAGACGAGGUUACGCCAUGUUGGCCAGGCUGGUCUCCAACUCCUGAACUCAACCUAUCCUCUCACUGCAGCCUCUCAAGGUGGUGGGAUUACAGGCAUGAGCCACUACACCCCACCUGUUAAUUGCGUCUUUAUCUCAGUAGGUUGAAGUAUAUUUAUACAGCCUCUGCUCUGUGUCAAGUACUGAGCUGAGCUCAGCAGUUGCAAUGGCAGGAACACAGACCCAGCCCUAUUCCUUAUAUGGCUGACUCUCUAGUGGGAAAUAUGGACAUUAAACAAACGACCACCUAAAUAUAACACUGCAAACUGGAGUUCAUGGCAUGAACCAUGGAAUGCUAUCAAAGCACUGGGAUCCCAAUCUAAUCUGGGCAUCAGAGAAAGCUUCCCUGAGGAAUUAAAAUUUGGAUGAGGUCUCAAUAAUUAGUUGAUGAAUUAGGCAAACAGUGGGAGCAAGGAUGUUCCAGGCAGAGGCCAACUACAUGGGUCAGGUGCACAGGACAUAAACCGAGCCAUCAAGAAGCUUCCAAUGUGAAAAGAGAAUAAACCCAUAGAGACAAGCAAUGAAGUGCUGCCAUGAGACAGAUGUGUGGAGCAUUUGAACAAUGGGAAAGUGCUGCUAGGAGAGAGGUGGUGUUCAAUUCAAUGAAAGCAAUGUAGGAUGAGAUCUGUAAGGAAGACUAGAUAAGCCAAGAGGCAUGCAGAGGAUCUUAUCCAUUUUAGAGCCCUGGGGGCUAUUUACUGGAGUAGCUGAAGAUAGCACCGUGGACACAGGCUGAAAAGGAAGGAAUUGCUAUGAGCUCCAUGUGAGGCAUCAUAGAUGAGACCUAUGGAGCUAUCCAAGAUCAUAUCCUGACACAGUGGUCAAAAUAAAGAAGCAAGUGUGAGCAGUGGUGAGGUGAUGGCUCAUUUAAAGAAAAGCCAUGCCCUGCAGACUGGUCCCAAGCUGGAGACCCCUUUCUCUAAUUGUCUGAAGAAUCCCUUUGGCAGGCUGUGUAAUACGCAUGACUCCAAUCUCUUGAAGUCUCUAGAUGGAGGCCACAUCCCAUUGCCUUUACAAAACAUCCUCUUUAUCCAUGGAUGUUGAUACUUGAGAACUUAACAGAAAGAACUUCAUUCCUUCUGUGAAGAUCAGUGAAGCUCAUAUUAUUAUCUGACUACAGAACUGCUCAAUGUUCAUCCCAAAAAAGUAAGACUCCCUUAAAUAUCUGCAUAAGAUUCAUUUUCUGUGUUUUAUUUUCCUAAUUUUCUUCAAAGAAGAUGUGUUACUUUUGUUAAUAAAAUAUUAAAAAUGUAAACCAUGGAAUCAGGGAAGGAAAAUGGCAGAUAGGAGGCAGGACUAAAUUACAGCUGACACUCAGAGGGACAGAGCAGCAUGUGGAGACUCACGUUGUGAAUUUUUGCUCCAGAACUACUACUGCAGGAUUAUACCAGGAAAGCCAAGAGAAUCCACAGACCCUCUGAAGGAAGUGGAUAGCUCCUGCAGGACCCAGGAGACAGCCCAAAUACUACACAGCAAGAAGGUGCAAUCUAUGAACCAGAAAGUGGGCCCUCACCAGACACUGAAUCAGCUGUUUGUGUCUAGUGUCUUGACCUUGGACUUCCCAGCCACCAGAACUGCCAGAAAUAAAUUUCUAUUUUUUAUUAGUUAAAAAAAAGUAAGCCAUGUAGAUUAUUCAUUAACAUAUGAAGCAAAAUGGAAUCAUAAAAAUGAAACAUUCAUUACAAUUUUUUGGAAACUGCUAUUUGUUUUGUUUUGUUUUUGAGACUAAGCCUCGCUGUGUUGCUCAGGCUGGAGUGCACUGGCUGUUCACAGAUGUGACCAUGGCACGCUGCAUCUCAAACUCCUGGCCUCAAGUGAUCCUCCUGCCUCAGUCUCCUGAAGAGUUGGGACUACAGGGGUGUACCACCACACCCAGCCUUGUUUGUUUUUGAAGAUAAGAUCCAUAUCUGAAUUUUUUAAAUCAGUGACUGAGCAACAUAAAACAUGAGGAUUUCCCAGAUUGCCCUUCUUUUGUUGAAAAUAUUAAAAAGUGAUCUUAAAUGUAUGGAUACAUAUAAAACACUAAGAUUUCUCCAUUUGGUUUAUGUACUUCAUAAUAGCUUGUGACAUGCUCAAAAUAACAUGAUUUUUUUCAAUUAUUUCUUUUGCUCUUUUAAAAAUCACAUUUUAUUGAAUUUAUUCAUUCAUUCAUUUUGAACACCUAACAUAUACUAACAAAUGUGCCAAGUCCAGAAGAUUCAAGGCUGAAUCAGAGGACAUCCUUGACUUUAAAAAGCUGACAGACUAGAAGAGCCAAGCCUACAUGAAAAUAAAUAAAUGCAAUACGGACCAAAAGCACAAUUAUCGAAAUAUGUGCAGGGUAGAGGUGCUGAGCAGUGGGAAGAUACAGAAUAACUAAUGCCUGUUAGCUGCUUCUGUAUGUAUGCCAGGUAGUGUUCUAAGUGCUUUACUUACAUAUAUUAGCUCAUCGCCAACCUGUGAUCGUUUCCAUUAUCAUAUUGUUACACUCAUUUUAUAGAUGAGGGACUGAGACAAAGAGUGGUUGCCUAGCUUGCCCAAAGUCACUCAGCUAUACUGAGUGGCAGAACCAGGAUUUAAAUAAUAUGAACUCUGUGCUCUCAACCUCUACACAUUUGCUGUCCAGACUGUCCAGCAGACUGUCUAGGAAGAAAUGCAAAGCACUUUAAGCAGAGAGGGCAGCUUGGGCAAGGGCACUAGUGCAGGAAAGACACAAGCACCUUGUGGAGUCAAGCAGAUAGGAUACCAGAAGGCUGAGGAAUAUGCCACAUCAUAGGGAGGCUUGGAUCAGUUUUGGUAGACAAUGAGAGGACAUUGAAGGAUUUUAGUCAGAGGAGUGAUGGGGCAGAUCUGUUUCUUAAAAAGAUUAUUUUGACUGUGUUAGGGAGGAUGUGCUGCAGAGGAUCUGGAUGCAGGUGGGGAAGGGAGGAUGUGUUGCAGGAGGAUGUGUUGCAGAGGGAGGAUGUGCUGCAGAGGGUCUGGAUGCAGGUGGGGGAACCCCCUUUAGAGACGACUUCUCCCAGGUAAGAAAAGGCUGUAGCAGUGGAGUUGGAGAGAGAAGAAUGGACCAGAGCUAUUUUAAGGAAGACUAGGCCAGUGCUGGUUUUGAUUAGUGGAUGUCAAACUUAGUGGUCGUUUGGUAUUUUUACACGAAACCUUCAACAGAAUCAACAGUGUGCUUCAUGAAGGCAGAGCCCAGAUUUGUUUUUCUCGCCGUUGUACUCCCAAGACUUGGUAAUGUGCUCAGGAAAUGCUUAUUGAUUGAAUGAGUUAAUGAAUAAGUGAAUAAACCAAGAAGUAAAUAAAAAAAAGAAUGAAUCAAAGAAAUGACUCAGUAUUGGAUUAGACCAAGUGCAUAAGAGAAGAAGUUAAUGGACUCUCAAAUGACUUGCCGAAAAGAUUAAGUCAAUUUCUCUUUUCUUAUGCAAUACAUUUUGUGUCCAGGCCUUUCUUAUGAGUAUUGUGUGUGGAACAUAAAGCAACCAACUUAGCUCCACGAUUUAGCUAUUGGGAGACCCAUGAAAGAGCCUACCCAGCCCUGCCUGCCUCUGGGGGUCUCGGUCAUGUCAUGUGACUACAUCGCUUGGCUCUGUUUCCAAGUUCCCCACCUCUAACCUCUCUGGAGCUCACAUUCAUCUUUCAAAAACAUCACUUCUGUUAUAUCACCCAUCACUCACUCCCUUCACUACACAUCUCUUUGCCCUGCUUUAGUUUUCAUCUGAGCACUUACUGUUUCCUGACAUUAUGUCAUUCAUUCAUUCAUUCAUUUAUUCAUUUUAUUUGGUUCUAUCUCUCUGUUAGUUUCCUAUUGCUGCAGUAGCAAAUUACCAUAAACUUAGUGGCUGAAAACAGAUUUAUCUUGCAGUUCUUGAGGACAGAAAUCUGAAAUGGGCCUCACUGAGAUAAAGUCACUGUGGCCAGGGCUGCAUUAUUUCUGGAAGCUCCAGGGGACAAUCUGUUUCCUUACCUCUUUCAGCUUCUAGAGGCUGCCCUCAUUUCUUAUUUUGUGGACCCCUUUGAUCUUUAAAGCCAGCAAAGGCAGCUUGAGUCUUUCUCAUGAUGCUGUCUCUCUGGUCUCACUCUUCUGCCUUCCGCUUCCCCAUUCAAGGACUCUUGUGAUUAUAUUGGGCUUGCCUAGAUAAAGCAGGAUAAUCUUAUUUUAAGGUCAGCUGAUUAGCAACUUUAAUUCUAGCUGCAAUUUUAAUUCCCCCUUGCCAUGUAACAACAUAUUUAUAGAUUACAAGGAUUAGGAUGUGGAUGUAUUUUUUUUUUUUUUUUUUGAGACGGUGUCUUGCUCUGUCACCCAGGCUGGAGUGCAGUGGCACAAUCUCGGCUCACUGAAACCUCCACCUCCCGAGUUCAAGCAAUUCUCCUGCCUCAGUCUCCCAAGUAGCUGGGAUUACAGGCAUGCGCCACCAAACCCAGCUAAUUUUUGUAUUUUUAGUAGAGACAGGGUUUCACCAUGUUGGCAGGCUGAUCUUGAACUCCUGACCUUGUGAUCCACCCGCCUCGGCCUCCCAAAGUGCUGGGAUUACAGGCAUGAGCCACCGCACCUGGCCCAGGAUAUGGAUGUCUUUGAGGGGCCAUUUCCUGCUUAGCACAAUCUGCCUCUUAUAGAAUUUAAGUCUCUUGAGAGCAAAACUUUAUCUACUUUGCUCUCUACAGUACAGCCAUUGAUUAGAAGAGGGCCAGUAUAUUGUAAGCAUGCAGUAAAUAUGUUUUGAAUAAAUCAGCAAAUCUUGUCCUUCUUUUUCACAAUCCAUCUCAUACCAAGGCAGAAUAAUUUUCCUUCAUAUCAGCAUGGAUCAUAAUAUACUCUUUGAUAUGGUUUGGCUGUAUUCCCACCCAAAUCUUAUCUUGAAUUGUAGUUCCCAUAAUCCCCAUAUGUCAUGGGAGAGAGCCGGUGGGAGGUAAUGAAUCAUGAGAGAGGUUACCCUCAUGCUGCUGUUCUCAUAAUAGUGAGUGAGUUCUUACAAGAUCUGACGAUUUUAUAAGGGGCUUCCCACCUUUUGCUCUGCACUUCUCUUUCCUGCUGCCAUGUGAAGAAGUACGUGUUUGCUUCCCCUUCUGCCAUGAUUGUAAGUUUCCUGAGGCCUCCCCAGCACUGUGGAACUGUGAGUC
rnacentral:lncRNA from 1 species